GGGCGUUCGGCGCUACACUCAUAACGAGUAUGCGCGAGAGCCGAAUGCUACGGAUAUAAGCCGAGUCAUUUCGCCUUGGGAUCUCGAAGAGUAUCCGGCCAACUCCUAGGAGCUCGAUGUAAAAUCCACGGCAUGGAUUCCCUCUGCUACUCUCUGGAAUUUCUUUGGAACCAUCAUUGAGAGCGAAAUCUGAAUUUAUUUCUCCUAAGCGCCGCGAUAUGGUAUAAUUCCACAGUCGAAUGCGAUGCGCUUAUCAUUUAAUGAGAAGGCUGCUUAGGAAGUUUAUGAAUUCAUUAAAUAAAUGUUUAUGUUAAUACGGUGAA